GACGUAGGGCGCGAGCGUUGUCCGGAAUUACUGGGCGUAAAGCGCGUGUAGGCGGCUAUGUAAGUCGGGCGUGAAAUCCCACGGCUCAACCGUGGAAGUGCACCCGAAACUGCGUAGCUAGAGUCCUGGAGAGGAAGGUGAAAUGCUUGGUGUAGAGGUGAAAUUCGUAGAUAUCAAGCGGAACACCGGUGGCGAAGGCGGCCUUCUGGACAGUGACUGACGCUGAGACGCGAAAGCGUGGGGAGCAAACAGG
rnacentral:rRNA from 1 species